AAACCAUGCACCAUUUUCCUCCCCUCCGGCCGAGACCCGGCCGUGGGCGGAACCCAGAGAGAGGCGGAGCCUGGAGUGCUUCCUGGGAAACUCUUUAAGUAAAGGUCUCUCAAGUCCUGACUGCUGGCUUUCAAAUGGUAGAUGGAGCCAUUGUGUUCCCUGCAGGGACUUGUCAAAUGCUGACACCACUGGAUUCAUCUGGGCUGUUUGUCAUGAGCUGGUUUAGUUUCAGAGAGGUGGCAUCUCUAACCCAAGGCCCUCCUGGAUGGGCUGUGCAAACUGGAUACUGCACAGCUUUAGUGUAGGCAUCAAAAGGUCCCUGGAGCUUUGCAACCGAGUCCUGCUCUCAGAAUCUGCCAGCUGCCAGCCGCCAGCCGUUGAGUAGCAGAAGAAAUCUGGGACUUGAGGGAGGACAAAUCUCAAAUCCUUUAUGACAUUUUGCUGGACUCUUUUGCAUGGGGUACUUUGUUAUCCUUUUGUUAUCCAAGCCGCACCCUGCUGACAACUCCCCCUGCUUGCUUCGCCUUUCACAGUCUUCUCAGUGGAUUGAUCGGGGGCAGAAGGGAACUCCACACAACCGGGAAGAAGUCAGAUCGUAUGCUUCUUAAGCAUGGAGUCCUGCUUUAGCCUCGCCCUGCCCUUCAUCUCUAGAGAUGCUUCUGUGAGUUCUCGAAUGUGCAGUGGUGCAGGUGUGUCCUGCAAGUGACCCCAUCCUUUUGGAGUAGCCAUUGUCCAGCUCCUCUAUCUGCCCAUCUUUUCAACUGUACUGUCUACUUCUUCCCAUUCCCUCUGCCCUUGUGUCUUUUACAGAGAUUAACAUUUUCACUCCUCCACAUUGAAUAGAUAAAUAGAUAACCUGGCUUUAUGAUGGUGUCUAAAUAUACUCCAUCCCCAGUGUUCUUACUUGUAACGCUUUGUAAUUGGGGGUACUGUGAUUGGGCACAGCCUCACCUGUGCAGAGCCCACCACUCACUGCACCUCCCGUCGUCUUUUUACUUUUUACUUUCAGACAAGGGUUGACUGUGUAGGACGGACUAGCCUCAAACUUGUGAUUCUCCUGCCUAGGCCUAUCCUGAGACCAAGUCCAGCAAGGGACAGGCACUGUCACUUGCAGAGUUGUAAGAAUCCGACUUUCAUGAACUGCAAAAUCCCAAAAUGCAUCGCUCUUUUCCGUGUUUUGCAGCUCCAUCGUAAAUUACUUCUCAUCUGGUUUUCUUGGCUCCAUACAAGAGUGAGGCUUAGUACUUCACUUAGUCACAUUCCGGGAAUAUUUAACACUUGUGGGACUAUUGAAGUUAUUAGUAUUUGCACACAGUGAUGAUCACACCUGGACUCGUGAGGAGAACUUUGUCACCCCUCUUCAUCCUGGCCCAUACACGGACUUGGCUUUGCCAAUGUCCCAUGAACUAGAGAUCUUAGAGUUCUUUACAUGGCUGUGUCCAGGUCUACAACACAUAGUCACUCAAGGCUUCCUCUAUUCCAAAUUCCUCAUCAUAUAAAUUCAUGUUUGCCUGUCAUAUGGAACCGUCUUAGGAUUUCUAUUGCUGAGAAGUGACACCAUGACCACCUCAACUCUUAUAUAGAGUUGAAAAGUUAAACUCUUAAUUUUAUUUAAUCAAUUUAAUAUUUAAUUAAUAAAAUAAUAAAAUUAACUAAUAUUAAUAUAUAACUUACAGUUCAGAGGUUUAGUCAUUUAUCACGGUGGGAAGCACGAUGGCGCUCUGACAGACGUGGUGUUAGAGAGUAACUGAGAGUUCUACAUCUUGAUGCACUGGCAGCAGGAAAGCUAAGAGCCACUGAGCCUGGACUUUAGCUUCUGAGACCUCAAAACUCACCCACUAGUGACACACUUACUCUAACAAUGCCACUCCUUAUGGACCAAGCACUCAAAUACAUGAGUCUACGUGGGCCACUCCUAUUCAAAGCACCACAGGUACUUUUCAAAGCUAUAAAUGGGUCAUUUUAUCUUUUAAAAAUUAAAUACGGAAGAUCUGUCUGAUCCUUACCUAUCUGACUGCAUCUAUGGAGAACUCUGUUCAACUUUCAAAAGGGUAGCCAAUCACGAAGAGCGUUUUAUGUUUUGACAUUUCUCUGCCAAUAGAUUUACUCAUUUUGGUACUCAGAGCCACCUGUAUGUCCAGCUCCAAGGUACCUGAUGCCCUCUUCUGGCCUCCAUGGGAUCUGCACACACACUCACAUACUCCUCCCAAUACACAAAAUUUGUAAGUUAAAAAAAAAAAAAUCAACUCUUGCCAGAGGGCUGUGCCCAUCUUUAAUCCCAGCACACAGGAGGCACAGGAGGUAGGAGGAGCUGUGUAAGUUGGAGGCCAGCCUGGUCUACAUAGUGAGUUCUAGGCCAGCCUGGUCUCCGUAGUGAGUUCUAGGCCAGCCUAGUCUACGUAGUGAGUUCUAGGCCUACCAGUGCCUACAAUGAAAUCCUGUCUCAAAAAAAAAAAAAAAAAAAAGUAGAAAGAAGAUAAUUAGCAAAGUUUUAUUAUUAAUUUAUCAUAGUACUUAGCUAACAAGUACUUACAUACAAAAGCAACAGAAGCAGGCAGAUCUCUGUGAGUUCUAUGCCAGCCUGGUCUACAUCAUGAAUUUCAGGAUAGCUAGGACUAAAGAGAGCUUGUCUCAAGAAACAAAACAACAACAAAAUCAGCUCACAGCUACUGAAAUAAUGGAGUGGAAAUGUGGAAGGUAUAGUCUUCUCUUCCUGCAAAGCUAGUUAGUCUUUUAUACACGUUUGAUUUGAGGGAGGGCCCAACAUUCUCCUGCAAAUCCCGCAGCAGCCCGGGCUGUGUCUCAGAAAUGUAAGCUAUCAAAGUCAGGGGAGCCAGACUCAGGCCUAGAAAACUGGAGUUCCUUCAACAGGAGGCAAAUUUCAUCUUUAAAGUUCAAUAGAAGUUGCACAAAUUGGAAACUAAGUUUUUAAAACCCUUUUGUCCUUGAAGGAGUAAUUUACAUUAGCAAGGCAAACCUGUAAGCCUAAAAAUCUUGGAAUCAUUUACUUUUAAAUAAAUAUUUCACUGAGAGUAAAUAGUAGUUUCUCCCUUCAGUGCACAAUGUAAAUAUUAGCAUCUAAGAUAGGCUAUAUUGUUAAAAAUACCUCUCUCUGUGCCUAAGUACAAUUCCUCAAAAAACCAACCAAGCAACC
rnacentral:lncRNA from 1 species